UAAAUGCAGAAAUGAGUAUAAG
rnacentral:siRNA from 1 species